GGGCACAUGGUGUAGAUGGUUUAUCACGCUCGCUUAGCAAUGUAAUCUGCGAGAGGUGUCCGGUUCAAUUCCGGAUGUGUCCA